GCGAAGAUAAGACGGAUCAACGGCGGACGGGUGAGUAACACGUGAGUAACCUGCCUUUUACACAGGGAUAGCCUCGGGAAACCGGGAUUAAAACCUGAUGAAACUAUCAAAUCACAUGAUUAAGAAAGUUAAAACUCCGGUGGUAAAAGAUGGACUCGCGUCCCAUUAGCUAGUUGGUGAAGGUAACGGCCCACCAAGGCAACGAUGGGUAGCCGGCCUGAGAGGGUGAACGGCCACAUUGGAACUGAGAAACGGUCCAAACUCCUACGGGAGGCAGCAGUGGGGAAUAUUGCACAAUGGGGGAAACCCUGAUGCAGCGACGCCGCGUGAGCGAAGAAGGCCUUCGGGUCGUAAAGCUCUUUUAUAUGGGAAGAUAAUGACGGUACCAUAAGAAAAAGCCCCGGCUAACUACGUGCCAGCAGCCGCGGUAAUACGUAGGGGGCUAGCGUUGUCCGGAAUCACUGGGCGUAAAGGGUUCGCAGGCGGCAAUGCAAGUCAGAUGUAAAAGGCAAAGGCUCAACCUUUGUAAGCAUCUGAAACUGUAUAGCUUGAGAAGUGUAGAGGCAAGUGGAAUUUUUAGUGUAGCGGUGAAAUGCGUAGAUAUUAAAAAGAAUACCGGUGGCGAAGGCGACUUGCUGGGCACAAUCUGACGCUGAGGAACGAAAGCGUGGGGAGCAAACAGGAUUAGAUACCCUGGUAGUCCACGCCGUAAACGAUGAGUGCUAGGUGUCGGUAUAAAUCGGUGCCGCAGUUAACACAAUAAGCACUCCGCCUGGGGAGUACGUGCG
rnacentral:rRNA from 1 species